GAUGAACGCUGGCGGCGUGCCUAAUACAUGCAAGUCGAGCGAACAGACGAGGAGCUUGCUCCUCUGACGUUAGCGGCGGACGGGUGAGUAACACGUGGAUAACCUACCUAUAAGACUGGGAUAACUUCGGGAAACCGGAGCUAAUACCGGAUAAUAUAUUGAACCGCAUGGUUCAAUAGUGAAAGACGGUUUUGCUGUCACUUAUAGAUGGAUCCGCGCCGCAUUAGCUAGUUGGUAAGGUAACGGCUUACCAAGGCAACGAUGCGUAGCCGACCUGAGAGGGUGAUCGGCCACACUGGAGCUGAGACACGGUCCAGACUCCUACGGGAGGCAGCAGUAGGGAAUCUUCCGCAAUGGGCGAAAGCUUGACGGAGCAACGCCGCGUGAGUGAUGAAGGUCUUCGGAUCGUAAAACUCUGUUAUUAGGGAAGAACAAAUGUGUAAGUAACUAUGCACGUCUUGACGGUACCUAAUCAGAAAGCCACGGCUAACUACGU
rnacentral:rRNA from 1 species